ensembl:antisense Tbx3os1 T-box 3, opposite strand 1
UUUUUUUUUUUUUUUUUUUUUUUUUUUUAAUGUUUUAGUGUCUGUCCCUCAGCAGGAUUCACUCAGAUGUCCUUAAAGAUCCUCCAGACUAGGAAGAAGAUAAAGCUGAAACCAGAAGAAAGAGUUGCUAAUAGCCCAUGGAUGGACUAAUCCUUUAACCCUGGAGUCAUUCUGGGAGUGGAGAGCGGGGCAAAAUAAAGCAAAUAAUAAAAUACAGGAGGGCCCCUGGCCCGGGGCGGUGGGGGUGAUGGGAGUUGGAGUCACUCGCCUGUCAGGACCUAUAUCAACAUGUCAGCCACUUGGACAAACAAGCGUUUCGAGGGGAAAUAUUUCAGAUAAACAGACACGAUGUUAUGACAUAUCACCCCCCCCAACCCUGGAAGGGGGUCCUCGGAGACC